AUAAAAGUUUGAUUCUUGCUUAAGAAAUUUUCGGUUUAAUAAAAGUUCAUAUGAAAAUUUUGGUGUUCUUUAAAAUAAAAAAGUUAAAAAUAUGAUUUAUCCUAAAAUUAGGUAAAUUCUCAAUAUGUAAUAUUAAGUUAUCAAUAAAAAUUGGAUUUAAUUAUUAAAAUUGUUAUGGCUAAAUUUUGUGCCAGCAGCUGCGGUUAUACAUAAAUAGCUAGAAAAAAGAUCGGAAAGUAAAAUAUAAUUUAUAAAUUUUUAAAUUAAUUUAAUAACAUAGAAGGUGAAAUUAUUUUAUAUUAUUUAAUGUAAAUUUAAAUUUAAAUAAAAGUAUAAUUUAAGAAAUUUAAUAUAUAAACUAGGAUUAGAUACCCUACUAUAUUUAAACUAAAGUUUAAUCUUGAUUAUUAUUAGAUAUAGUCUUGAAAAUCAAAGAAUUUGGCGGUAUUUUAGUCUAUUUAGAGGAACCUGUUUAAUAAUCGAUAAACCACGAAUAAUUUUACUUGUUUAAAAUAAUUUGUAUACCGUCAUUAUUAGAUAACUUUUAUAGAAUUAGAUAUUGAAAUUUUAUGCUAAAAUUAUAUUAGAUCAAGGUGCAGUUUAUAGACAAGAAUAGAUGGGUUACAAUAGUAUUUACUAUUAUGAAUCUAAUUAUUAAGUUGAUUAGUGAAAGUGGAUUUAAUUGUAUUCUUUUUUUAAUAAGAAAAGUUGAUAUUAGCUCUAUGAUAUGUACAUAUCCCCCGUCCCUUUCAUAAAUUAAAGUGAAAUAAGUCGUAACAUAGUAGGUGUACUGGAAAGUUUACCUAGAAUU
rnacentral:ncRNA from 1 species